rnacentral:rRNA from 1 species
UGCGUAGGCGGCUAAAUAAGUCAGAAGUGAAAGCCUGCGGCUUAACCGUAGAAUUGCUUUUGAUACUGUAUAGCUUGAAUUAGGUUGAGGUUGGCGGAAUGUGACAUGUAGCGGUGAAAUGCAUAGAUAUGUCAUAGAACACCAAUUGCGAAGGCAGCUGACUAGACCUUAAUUGACGCUGAGGCACGAAAGCGUGGGAGCGAACA